UAAUUUAAAUAUUAUGAGAAUAUAACAUUUUUUUUUUGGAAAAAUAUUCAUAGACUCGUCACCUCAUUCCAGUACCGGUCGGGUCCAAAAAUAUAAGGAGCUGUUUUUUAAUAGAUUUUCAUAGUUUCUCACGUACUUAUAUGUAGAACAGUAAUAUUGAGUGGGUACAUGCAUUGUAUGGUGAAUGAAUCACGUCGGAUGCCUGUGUAUGAGGUCUUGAAAGAAAUUGACUCAUAAAAACAUUUCAACUUUUUGUUGUAAAAAAUUAUGGAGCAAUAUAGUAAUGACUGUGAUGGUGAUUUUAAAAAAUUCGAGCGUUCAUUAUUAAGUAGAGACGUCAUGAAUAGAGAAUGUCGAAGUGAAAUUGUUCUACUAAAAUAGUUACUUGGAAUUCAAAAAGCAUAUACA